CCUACGGGAGGCAGCAGUGGGGAAUAUUGCACAAUGGGCGCAAGCCUGAUGCAGCCAUGCCGCGUGUAUGAAGAAGGCCUUCGGGUUGUAAAGUACUUUCAGCGGGGAGGAAGGUGUUGAGGUUAAUAACCUCAGCAAUUGACGUUACCCGCAGAAGAAGCACCGGCUAACUCCGUGCCAGCAGCCGCGGUAAUAAU
rnacentral:rRNA from 1 species